rnacentral:rRNA from 1 species
CGUGCCUAAUACAUGCAAGUCGAACGAGGUUUAACUGGAUUGAGUUCUUCGGAAUAAUUUCUUUUGAACCGAGUGGCGGACGGGUGAGUAACACGUGGGUAACCUGCCCUCAAGCAGGGGAUAACAUUUGGAAACAGAUGCUAAUACCGUAUAAUCCCAGAGACCGCAUGGUCUCUGGUUGAAAGGCGGCUUUCGAGCUGUCACUUGAGGAUGGACCCGCGGCGCAUUAGCUAGUUGGUGAGGUAAAGGCCCACCAAGGCAGUGAUGCGUAGCCGACCUGAGAGGGUGAUCGGCCACAUUGGGACUGAGACACGGCCCAAACUCCUACGGGAGGCAGCAGUAGGGAAUCUUCCACAAUGGACGAAAGUCUGAUGGAGCAACGCCGCGUGAGUGAAGAAGGUUUUCGGAUCGUAAAACUCUGUUGUUGGAGAAGAACGUGUGUGAGAGUAACUGUUCAUGCAGUGACGGUAUCCAACCAGAAAGCCACGGCUAACUACGUGCCAGCAGCCGCGGUAAUACGUAGGUGGCAAGCGUUAUCCGGAUUUAUUGGGCGUAAAGCGAGCGCAGGCGGUUUCUUAAGUCUGAUGUGAAAGCCUUCGGCUUAACCGAAGAAGUGCAUCGGAAACUGGGAAACUUGAGUGCAGAAGAGGACAGUGGAACUCCAUGUGUAGCGGUGAAAUGCGUAGAUAUAUGGAAGAACACCAGUGGCGAAGGCGGCUGUCUGGUCUGUAACUGACGCUGAGGCUUCGAAAGC